ACCUAUUUAUUAUUAAAUUGGAGUUAGAGCCCUUACGGUACUGGUACUGUAAUGGGUU
rnacentral:tRNA from 1 species